rnacentral:sRNA from 1 species
UUAACGGACAGUUGCAAUCUACAUAAGU